rnacentral:tRNA from 1 species
GCAGUGCUGGUUUAGCGGUAGAAUUCUCGCCUUCCAUGCAGGAGACCCAGGUUCAAUUCCCAGCCAAUGCA